rnacentral:rRNA from 1 species
GUAAUGCAUCGGGACCUACCUGAACGUGGGGGAUAACGUAGGGAAACUUACGCUAAUACCGCAUACGUCCUACGGGAGAAAGCGGGGGAUCUUCGGACCUCGCGCGGUCAGACGGACCGAUGUUCGAUUAGCUAGUUGGUGAGGUAACGGUCACCAAGGCGACGAUCGAUAGCUGGUCUGAGAGGAUGAUCAGCACAUUGGGACUGAGACACGGCCAAAUCCUACGGGAGGCAGCAGUGGGGAAUAUUGGACAAUGGGCGCAAGCCUGAUCCAGCCAUGCCGCGUGAGUGAUGACGGCCUUAGGGUUGUAAAGCUCUUUCGCUAGGGACGAUAAUGACGGUACCUAGACAAGAAGCCCCGGCUAACUUCGUGCCAGCAGCCGCGGUAAUACGAAGGGGGCUAGCGUUGUUCGGAAUUACUGGGCGUAAAGCGCGUGUAGGCGGGCUUUUAAGUCAGGGGUGAAAUGCCAAGGCUCAACCUUGGAACUGCCUUUGAUACUGGAAGUCUUGAGUCCGGGAGAGGU